GAUGAACGCUGGCGGUAUGCUUAACACAUGCAAGUCGAACGGACUCUUCGGAGUUAGUGGCGGACGGGUGAGUAACGCGUGAGAAUCUGGCUUUGGGUUCGGGACAACCACUAGAAACGGUGGCUAAUACCGGAUGUGCCGAGAGGUAAAAGAGAAAUUGCCUGAAGAUGAGCUCGCGUCUGAUUAGCUAGUUGGUGAGGUAAAGGCUCACCAAGGCAGCGAUCAGUAGCUGGUCUGAGAGGAUGACCAGCCACACUGGGACUGAGACACGGCCCAGACUCCUACGGGAGGCAGCAGUGGGGAAUUUUCCGCAAUGGGCGAAAGCCUGACGGAGCAAUACCGCGUGAGGGAAGAAGGCUCUUGGGUUGUAAACCUCUUUUCUUAGGGAAGAACAAAAUGACGGUACCUAAGGAAUCAGCAUCGGCUAACUCCGUG
rnacentral:rRNA from 1 species